rnacentral:rRNA from 1 species
GUGGGGAAUAUUCCGCAAUGGACGAAAGUCUGACGGAGCAACGCCGCGUGAGUGAUGAAGGUUUUCGGACUGUAAAGCUCUGUUGUUUAGGACGAAAGUGCCUGUUGCAAAUAGUUACAGGUAUUGACGGUACUGAACGAGGAAGCCACGGCUAACUACGUGCCAGCAGCCGCGGUAAUACGUAGGUGGCAAGCGUUGUCCGGAAUUAUUGGGCGUAAAGAGCAUGUAGGCGGGAAUCUACGUCUGUUGUGAAAAUGCGGGGCUCAACCCCGUAUUGCGAUGGAAACUGGGUUUCUUGAGUGCAGGAGAGGAAAGGGGAAUUCCCAGUGUAGCGGUGAAAUGCGUAGAUAUUGGGAGGAACACCAGUGGCGAAGGCGCCUUUCUGGACUGUGUCUGACGCUGAGAUGCGAAAGCCAGGGUAGCGAACGGGAUUAGAUACCCGAGUAGUCC